rnacentral:rRNA from 1 species
AUACGGGGGGUGCAAGCGUUAAUCGGAAUUACUGGGCGUAAAGCGCGCGUAGGCGGUUUGCUCAGUCGGACGUGAAGGCCCAGGGCUCAACCUUGGAACUGCAUACGAUACUGGCAAACUAGAGUGUGAGAGAGGAUAGUGGAAUUUCCGGUGUAGCGGCGAAAUGCGUAGAUAUCGGAAGGAACAUCAGUGGCGAAGGCGACUGUCUGGCUCAACACUGACGCUGAGGUGCGAAAGCGUGGGUAGCAAACAGGAUUAGAAACCCUAGUAGUCC